ensembl:lncRNA
GGGGAUGUGGGAGAGCAGAGUGAACUCAGUGCAAACCAGAGCUUUGGGCUUCCUGGAAAAAAUGUUCCCAGAAUCUAAUCUUGAAGGAUGGGUAAGAACUGAGUGACAUUUCAGGCUUGAGGACAGCAUGAGAGAAGCUGAAGCUGAAGCCUUACCUUUGAAUUCAUCUGAAAGAUAUAACAAUAAAAACACAGUUGAGUGGAGAAGAUCAAGAUGGCAGAGUAGGAGGAUGUGGAGUUCACCUCCCCCCACUGAGCGCAUCAAAAAUACAUCUGCACGUGGAGCAAUCCUCACUGCAAACAAACUGAAGACUGUCAGAAAGCCUCUUAUACAACCAGGUCUGAAGAUACAUCCACAUGGAAUUAUGUAGAAAGGGAAGAAGAGCAUCUAUGCCUCUGGGAGGAGGGGGGAUAACACAAGCUUGGAGAUCUUCCCUGAAGAGUGAGUGGUUUGAACCACAUAUUGAUU